rnacentral:rRNA from 1 species
UACGAAGGGGGCUAGCGUUGUUCGGAAUUACUGGGCGUAAAGCGCACGUAGGCGGAUAUUUAAGUCAGGGGUGAAAUCCCAGAGCUCAACUCUGGAACUGCCUUUGAUACUGGGUAUCUCGAGUAUGGAAGAGGUGAGUGGAAUUCCGAGUGUAGAGGUGAAAUUCGUAGAUAUUCGGAGGAACACCAGUGGCGAAGGCGGCUCACUGGCUCGGUACUGACGCUGAGGUGCGAAAGCGUGGGGAGCAAACAGG